ACAGGGUUUUGCUGUGUAACCCAGGCUAGUCUCGAACUCCUGAGUUCAAGUGAUACACCCACCUUGGUCUCCCAAAGUGCUGGGAUUACAGGUGUGAGCUACCAUGCCCGACCUAGAGGCUUUUCUAAGGAAGGCAGAAAAUAUUUGCCUAACACAGUGUGGGAAUUUUGCUGUCCUCGUGGAUCUUCAUAUCUUGCCACAAGGUUCAAACAAAGAUACAAGCUGGUUUUCUGAACAGAAGAAAGAGGAAGUCUGUUUACUGUUAAAAGAAACCAUUGAUUCAAGAGUUCAGGAGUACUUGGAAGUUCGCAAACAGCACAGGCCAUCAAAUGCAGAAUUCACAAGAUCCAAUCCCUUGUCCUUAAAAGGUUAUGGCUUUCAAAUCACAGCCUAUUUCCUCAAGAGAGGGAUACGCCUUCGCUGCAUCAGGAGCACACAGAAUGAUGAACUCUGUGUAUUCCCUGACAGAUUUGUGGUUUGUGUCAGUCAGCUUGCAUUCAGUCGUGAUCUUUUAGCAAAUCAGAAUGAAGAUUUGACAGAAAGAGUUCUCCAUGGAGUGUCUGAUUACUUUGCUGAGUGUGCAGAGAGUUCACUUCCUCCCAGUGCAAAGCUCCGGAGAAAUGCUCUGAAAGAAAUUGUGAAAAGAACUGAAACAAAAAGCAGUGUCAUGAGCAAAUCACACACCAGAAGAGACACUGUGGAAACAUCUAGUGACUCAGUGAUUGCAGAGAUAGCAAGGAGGAGGAAUGAUGGUCAGGCUUCCUCCAGUCCCCCAUCAGAAUCCACGGGACAAGCAGAGGAUUACAUGAAGGCAGCUGAGAGCCACUGGGGGCUUCCUGUUCAAAAGCUGGAAAAAGUUAAUCAGACCCAGCCAGAAGACACUAGUGGCCAGCAAAAACCUCAUCCUGGGGAACGGUUAAAGACAGGGCUUCUAAGCAGGAGCCCUGUCUGUAGCUGUGAGUCAGCAUCACCAGGUCCAAAACAAAGUCCACGAGUGGCCAAAACCCAACAGAAACGCAGGAACUGCAGCUCUGCGGAAGACUUCGACCACCACAGGAGAGUUUCUCUUGGAAGUGAUGGAUUAGUCCCUAGAGAGAUAAUAGUGGAAAAAAGCAAAGCUGUCAGGGUUUUGCCAGCUUCAGAGUUGUCAGAUCCAGGGUUACUUUUGAAACAAGAUUUGGCAAAAACCACGUCUAAGGAAGAGUUGCAUGUUUUGGAAAGUCUCUCCUCCAGACAUCUUAUGAAAAAUAACCCAGGGCAGGCACAGCAAACCGGCUCAGCCACAAACACUGAAAGAUUAUCUACAAUUCAGAACAGCCCAACCAAGAAAAGAAAGAAAUAUGAAAGAGGCCAUUAACACCGAAGAGGAUUGCACCGUUGGAGUUGAGGACAUAGUGGCCAAACCUGUGACAAGAGAGCUGCGAAUAUAGAUGCCAGGAUUUUAAAGGAAUUAAUUAGAAUGACUAAUUUAAAUAAGGAGUGUGUUAUCUGUGUUAUGGCUAUGGUUUGUUUUCAAAGCAUUUCAAACCAGGAGGCUAUAUGCUUGUUCUAACAGCAUUGCUUCUUUAUCAUUGUAUUUUAUGACUGUCUUCAGAGUAAUUAGUGAUGACAAAGAGCCAUCCACCUUGUCAGGGAGGAGACUGUGCAAGGACUGCAUGAAGAAACUGAUCAUGAGCCCCUUCUUGGUACAUCACUGUGCAGACCACACAAUGGACCACGCAAAGAGUGCUGCCGUGCUGCCAUUCAGCUCCAGGGGUACAAUCCAUCCCCCUGCUCCUCAGCCUGAGUAGGAGGGCAGUGAAGGAACAGGCUAGUGGUUCUUAGCAUGUGGUCCUGGGACCAGCUUCGUUGUCUGGAAAUGUGCUAGAAAUGUGGUUAUUGGGCCCUGCCCCGUGCUGAGUAACUGCCUUUGGGUGAUUCUGAAACGUGCUCGAGUUUGAGAACCACUGGACUAAUAGAACACUCCCCGGUGCUUCCUUCAGCCUGGCUGCCAUGGCCUCCAGCUCACCAGUUGGGGCCAGAUGUGCACAUGCAUCCCCUCAGACUCCCUCAAACUUGUAAAACACUUGGGUUUGGUGUAUGGGUCACUCUCUUCCUGGGUUCUACGAAAUGGGUUUUCACCUGGUUUGCCAGGGUGGUCUCUAUCUCCUGACCUCGUGAUCCACCCGCCUCGGCCUCCCAAAGUGCUGGGAUUACAGGUGAGACCCACUGCACCCGGCCUGUUUUGACAUUCUUAAUGAUCUUAAUAAUUUGGCAUCUGAAAGUCUGAAACAGUGUCAGUAUUCUUAGUCAAGAAGAACAAGUUCUUCAACCACUUACAUAGUACCCCAAAUUAUAUUCAAGUCCCUGUGACUCCAAUGCUUGGAGAAGUCAUUGAUCUGAUUUGAUUAAUGUUAUAACUUUGAAUUUCCUAACUUUCUCAGUAGCAUGGAUUCUAAGCCACUUCCAUGUGCUUUCAGAUGGCAUCUUAAUAGAUUGGUGUUGAGAUCAUUUUAAUGUCCGUAAACAAGAAAGGUCUGGGAACAAUCUGUAUGAUUUUUCUUUCACAUUUUCUUAUCUUUGCCACUGGAGGUUAACUGUCGUCCAAAUAUGCAUAUGAAUUGUGAAAUGCAAAGAAGCAAACAUUUGGGGGUAGGGGAGUAAGUGCUGUAGUUCUUUUGUUCACUUAUUUUAAUACUAUAGAAGUGUAUUUCAUUUUAUAAAAAGCAAGAAUCAUAAAAACCCUCUGUAUUUUGAUUUAUGGAGAAUAUAGCUUAUCUCUCAAGUAUCUCAAGAUAUAUCUUGGGGACCACAAUGGGAUCACAGUGUAAUUGUUUGCCGUUGGUGUCAUGUUUGGAUUUUAGCAUGGUUUGUUAUGCAUGUCAGUGUCCUUUGAUUUCAGAAAGAGCUUGGCGAGGGCAGAACACGUAAGGGAAGGAAACCUCUGCUCAAGAGGAUGGCCUGGGAUCACAGUGUCGCCAUUCCCAAUUUCCUUGAAUUCCUUCUUGGCAGACCCUACUGUAAUAUUGCCACAAAACUGUAAUGAGUGGCCCUCCUUUGGAGGUAACAGAUGCCUUUCCUAAGAACUCAAAAUUCUCUUUUCAGCAUGCUGUGACUUGAAUAUGGAAAUCAUUUUAAUUUCUUCUUUUCUCUUAUGAGGAAAUUUCCAUGCUUGGUUUGUCAAGACAAGAGAGUUCAUUCCUUAUUAUUGAAACAUUAAUGAAUUGAAACACGUUGAAGCAAGUAAAAAAUCAAAAUUAGUAUUUGAUCAGGGAACAGAAGGUGUAAAUUGGACAGAUCCCCCGAAUAACUUUCUUCAAUCAAGUUGAAAAAUCAAACAGCCAUGAACAGUGGAGAGACUGACAGACCCUGCUCCAGAGGAUGCAGGUGAUGGAUUGACUGGGAAUUUUUCUAGGCCCAGCAGCUCCCAAGGCCUUUUCAGUUCCUCCUUCACACGCUUGACUGGUGAGAAGAACGCAGAAGGCUUUUUCCCAAACCCACGGCGGGUGCCUGGGAAGAUGAAUACCAGCGCAUCCAUUCCUGUUGUCAGAGGGAGAGGUGGAAUGGUAAAUCAGGGCAGCCUCCAGCCAGGAGGUGGGAGACUGGGCUGGGUAUUUGGGAUGUGUCCCAGUAGGAGGAGCCUAGAGGGACCUUCCUGUCACAGCACCAGAGAAGGAACUUGUGAAGCAGCAACAUUGCUCUAUUCAUAUAUUCUUAAAAUGCUGCCCCAGUGAGCCUUGUCCCAGUGCCCUUCUGCUCAGCACAUGGGCCAUCUGCCUGUGGCAGAGCCUGGGGCAUCUAGAAAAGAAUAUUCUCAGGUGACUCUCCUGUGAAAAUGCCCCAUCAAUCUGAAGGCACUUGUAGGCAGCAGAGCUUUCUAUGCCAGAGGUGUCGGGGAUCUGGGUUGCUAUUGGGGUUCUUAUUUUGAUGCCAAUAAGCAUCUUCACCGGAAAGAACCUUCUAGAUUUCACUAAAAUCUUUACACAGGCUCAAAGACAAGGAGUCUCUGCAUCCAUCUGUGAAUUUUCUACAGCAAAUUGUCCCCGUUUUCCCCUGAAGAUAGCAUUUCCUGGUACCAGUUUAUCAAAUCUCAUGCUCUUCUGGGCCCCAGUUGUAGAAACAACUUUGGCUCUUGUUUUGCAUGUCGUCAAGUCCAAUUCCAGGUCCUAAUAAUGUUUUAGAAAAGCUCACUGAACUUAAGAGAAACCUUAAUUUUCUGCUACCAGCAAUGCAUGUCUGCCUAGGCCGCCUGCCUUGCCCUCCAUGCAAGGGCACUCCUAGCAGAGAGAUGGUGGGAGACAAAGUUUGGCUUCACAUUUAGCCCCUUCUCAGUGCCAAAGAAAUGGCCACUGUGCAGUGAUGACACCCAAGGAGGGAACUUCCUUGUAGGGAAAGCCUCUGAGGAAGCCGGGGGUGGGAAUACAAAGUAUUUCUGAAAUGCCCAACCCACUGAAAACCUCCAGAAAAUGGAAGUCAAACAUUAUCUCGUUUCAUAAGGAGAGAAAACUCUCUCAAGACUUGAGUGUCCUGGAAUCCUCCAAGGCCAGGUAUCUGAGCUUACCUCAUUUGGCACACAUUUUAUAAAAUAGGGGUUUGGAGGGAUAUAGAGGAAAAAACUGUGUUCUAUUCUCAUUAUUCGCAGGCUGUAGACAGCUGUCGACACUCACAGACCACACACUGUUUAGACUUCAAUUAGGCACCAAGUUUUGUACAGUCCUAUAGUUCAUUCUUGUCUUGAAUGAGCUUUUCUUUCUCCUACACUGGAAGCCGGCUCUGAAUUGAUCAGGGAAAAAGCUAACAACGAUUAGUACAGUCACAACCAAAUACGACACCUACAAGUGACAUAUCUGGUACGAUCCUUUUUAGAAGAAGCCUAUGUUAGUUUUCUAUCCCUGUGUAACAAAUUACCAUAAAUUGAGAGACUUAAGACAACAUAAGUUUAUUAUCUCACAGUUUUUGACACUUAGCUGGGUCCUCUGCUCAGGGUCUCAUAGGCUGAAAUCAGGGCAUCAGCCAGGCUGCAUCCUCAUCUGGAUGCUCAACCCGGGAAAGGUCCACUUCCAAGCUCCCUUGUAGGCAGAAUUCAGUUCCUUACAUUUGUAGGACUAAGAUCCGCAUUGUCCCGCUGGCUGUUGGCAGGGGACUUCCUAGAAGCCAUUUUGCGGGUCCUUGCCACGUGACCUCGUCCAUUUCAUUAAUGGAGAAACCUUGGCAUUGAAUCACUUUCAUGCUUUGAAUCUCUUUGACUUCUCUUUCUGUGACCAGCCAGAGAAAAACUCUCUGCUUUUAAAAAGCUCCUGUAAUUAGGUCAGCCCUACCUGGAUAAUCUAUAUUUGAAGGCUAACAGAUUUGAGACUUUAAUGACAUCUGCAAAAUCCCUUCACAGCAGUACCAGGAUUAGUGUUUGAUUGAAUAACCAGGGGCCAGGGACCUUUGGGAGCCAUCAUGGAGUCCUGCCUACGACCAGAUCCAACAGCACUUAGCUCUUCUCUGACAGGCCCAGUUUAAUGGUGUUAAUGGUGAGAAAGUAGACUGUCAGCUGGAAUCUAGCUGAAUUCCUUAAUCUUUUAAUGGUUGCUUACAGCAAAUACUGAAAGCAGUGUUCUUUCCUUUACCUGUAGCCCUUUUCAUGAAUACUACAGUGGCACACAUUUAUUGUCACCAUGACAGAUGAGGAAACUGAGGCACAAAGAAUUUUGGAAACUCCCAAGUUAGUAAAUGGCAGUGCCUAGAAUCUGGGUCUGGCAAACCUCAAAGCCCAGAAACUCUGUUGUUAGAACACACACGUGGAAAAUUUCAAACCACGAGCUCGAAGGAAGAGCUGCAGUUGGAAUCAAAGAAGUCUCACUCCAGAAUGCAUGCUCUUGACCACUAAGCACACAGCCUGGCUUUGCACACCAAGAAGGUGAAAGUAACAGUCUAAUGAAGGAAGGGUCAGGCCCACGUGGAGGCUAAACACUCUGCAGGAGAUGUUCAGGACCUCUUUUGUAACUGCACUGCAGCCAACACUGUCCGACUGAGAGCUCACAGGAAGCACGGAAAUGAUGGGGCGUGGAGACGGAGAAAGCCAGAGAUGGUGGUCCCUCCCGGCCCCUUCCCACUCUCUUUACUUUACUAGAGGCACUUUUUUCCUUAGUUUGUUGCAAACCUGUAGGACACGUCGUGUUUGCGCUCUUCCUUUCUGCUUUAUGCCUUGAAUUCUUUAAAAAUUCUUCUAAAGUAACAUCACUGCAAAGCCAGAGAGAGCCCCUGAGGGCACCUGAUUGUUCAGGUCCUGAACUUGGAGGAUUUUUGUUUCUGUCUUGGGGAUGGGGUUUUUCCAAGUCACUCAGUGUGGGUGCCUAGGUGCAGAGGAAACUUCUACAUAGAAUAUACUUCUGGCCUACCCUGACACGACAAACAGGUUAAGGAUGACUUGUGGGAGAUUUUGCUAAUCCAUCAGUGCUGGGUGGGGCAGAGUGUGGAGGCGUAGCCUUUUGGGGAUGUCAGGUGGAGGAAGCAGAGCUGCCCACAGGCAGUUCCAGGAACUCACAGGUGUGUCUGAACUGGCCCAACCGCACACUGGAUGUGGCGAACUUCAUCACAUUCAAGCGAUCUGGAUUUUAGUCCUGUUAAAUGCUCUGGUGUUUUUGUGGUGAUAACCUGGAAGGAAGCUGCCAGGGAGAGUGAGAGUGGUUAGGGAACAUGGGAUGAGGCCUAAUGAUAAUUGCAAUCACCUGACACUGGUGAGGACCCUGGCGCCUGCAUCUCAGACCCGGUGAGCAGCAGUGCUAUUCUGAAAACGCCUGUAAAAUGUGCGUGUGUGCAUAUGCGUGCACACACACAGGGAGCAAUGGGACCUAGUGAGGCUGUUGAUUUCCUUUCUGAACCUCUUUUCCUGCAACUCAUUUUAAUUCUAUGAAGCAAAAACUAAAAGGGAAAUCGGAAACUUCCCAAGAACAAAGGAACAGCCUACAAAGGAGCAGGGCUUAAUCUGCCUUUGAUGCAGAAAACACCUAUUGCUCCCGGAUUUAUACAGAUGUCACUUUUUAGGCAGAACCAGUUCAGAUUGGCGACACUGUCUUAGCAGUCGCUUCCUGUGACCUCCCUUGAGACUUCGCAUCCAUUUUUGUGAAGUGCUGAUCUCCCAAGGCUUUACCUUUUAAAAUCACACUAAGGGCAGGAUCCCGGCAUAAACCUCGCAAAUUCCCAGAAGAGGCAGAAAACACAGCAGCCCAGGAAGCGGGAGCCCCAAGUUCUAGUUCUGGCUAUUGCUAACUCUCUAUAACUUCAGACAAGUCCUUGAACCUCUCUGGGCUUCAGUUUCCUCUUCUGGGAAAAUAGUGGGGGUUGGAUCCUUUGAUGGGUAAGGUCCCUGAUUGCAUUAACGUCCCGUGAUAAAGGUAUUUCACAUGUAACAUCUAUGAUAAGGGUAUUUCAACUGCAUAUAUCUCAGCAAGGGUGAACUAAAACAGCUUUUCACUCUUCAGGUGCAGAACAGAGGGGCCAACCUGUUUGGUUGCCUGAGUAGUGAUUAGGAAGCCAGCUGCAAACUUGUGUUUCC